CACCAGCUAACUUUCGAUUGGCUCCUUGUCACGAGACAGGCAUCUGACUUUCUAGUGUCUGGAACAAGGUCAUGGAAGCACAUGUUCGACCAUUAUGGCUGCCGAAAGGAAAGCUGGUUCCUUCAGCUGACAGCCUUGUGGGGGAUUCUGCCCUCCCUGGCCAGCAGUGCUCUGAAUGUCCUCCACACACGGCAGGUGAUGCCACCUGAGCUGCUCUUUCCAGCCACAGACAGUCCCUUCAGGUGACUUCCCUAUGAACUUUAUGAACUACAGUAUUGUCGGUGGGAAUACCACAGAAUACCAGCCACAAACACUUCUUGCCAGAAGUGACAAGAAAUCCAGCUGCAUGCUCCCCCCCCCCCCCCGUGUCUGUCACUCUACCUAUGCCCUUUGAUAGUAAGCUUUGUCUGUCACCUUAUCCCAAGUGUCCAUUCAGUUCCUCCUCAAGGCACGAGUGUGCAGCUGGCCAGCCCCCCUCCUGUUCCCACAAGAGCUGCUGGGCAGAGCUUCUGAAAAUGCUCUCACCGUUCCCCUACAGCAAGCAGGUGCUCCAAUAGGACAAGGAAAAUGGAAUUGACCGUGUGCAACGUCUGCCAACUUAACCAGGAAGUGGCCCCCAAGCAAAUUACGUGCAAGUCCACUGAGGGAGUUGAGCCCACGAAGGUGGGCGUAUGUGCACUGGAAGAAGGCAACCCUGCCUGCCUCUUCUGCCCAUGAUUGGACCGACGGGAGGAGUUCAAGCAUUUGCUUAUGCACAGUCCGGGUGCCUGUUGAGUCUGUGAACUUCCAGAAGCACCCAGCAUCUUCUGGGGUACAGCAGGCUAAGCGCCUGGCCUGGAGAGGCUGCCCACAUGGUCUAGCCGAAGAGGGCACCAGCUGGAGCUGGAUGCUAGCAGAGCCAGGUAGCCUGCUGCUUCUUCAUCACACUGCCAAAAGAGAAGCCUGGGCAAUGAGAGACCUGUGUGGCCAUCCCCCUCACCAGCACACGCUCCAAGUCCUUAGUGCCUGUCCAUGUUAAGGUGAAGCCUCAGUCUCAGGCUGCAACCCAAGAUGUGCAGCACAGCCUAAACUACUCUCUCUGUUUUGGGUUAAUCAAGAAGGCCGAUGGUGGCGCAUGCCUUUAAUCCCAGCACUUGGGAGGCAGAGGCAGAUGGAUCUCUGUGAGUUUGAGGCCAGCCUGGUCUCCAGAGGGAGUGCCAGCCAGGAUAGGCUCCAAGCUACACAGAGAAACCCUGUCUCG
rnacentral:lncRNA from 1 species